GUUCAGUGACUAAAUAAUUACCUGUAGAUGUGAGAUAAAACUUAUCUAAACAGGCAGAUCCUUCAACGUAGGUCAAUGUCGCCUCAAACUUUCAGAUGUAGUCUCCAGAACAAUUUCAUGCAGAUGGUUAUAACAUUAACGAUCAGAGGUAGCAAGUCAUAAUGUCCUCCACGAUGUUUGGAUAUAACAGAUCGGUAACUUCCAAGGUGAUUGGAAGUAGCAGGUCGUUUUUGUUCAAGACGAUCGGACGUAGCAGGUCGUUAGCGUAGCAAGUCGUUAACAAAUCGUGACCAGUAGCAGGCCGGUAAGCCUUCCAAAGCUAAUGAACUUAGCAGGUUGUUAACGUAGCAGGUUGUUAGCGUAGCAGAUCGUUAGCAUAGCAGGUUAUUAGCAUAGAUCAUUAACGUAGCAGAUCGCUAGCGUAGCAGAUCGUUAACGUAGCAGAUCGCUAGCGUAGCAGAUCGUUAGCAUAGCAGGUUGUGAACGUAGCAGGUUGUUAACGUAGCAGAUCGUUAGCGUAGCAGAUCGUUAGCAUAGCAGAUCGUUAGCAUAGCAGGUUGUUAACGUAGCAGGUUGUUAACGUAGCAGGUCGUUAGCGUAGCAGGUCAUUAGCGUAGCAGGUUGUUAACGUAGCAGGUAGUGAACGUAGCAGGUCGUUAGCAUAGCAGGUUGUUAACGUAGCAGGUUGUGAACGUAGCAGGUUGUGAACGUAGCAGGUCGUUAGUGUAGCAGGUUGUUAGCAUAGCAGGUUAUUAGCAUAGAUCAUUAAUGUAGCAGAUCGUUAACGUAGCAGAUCGCUAGCGUAGCAGAUCGUUAGCAUAGCAGGUUGUGAACGUAGCAGGUUGUUAACGUAGCAGAUCGUUAGCGUAGCAGAUCGUUAGCAUAGCAGAUCGUUAGCAUAGCAGGUUGUUAACGUAGCAGGUUGUUAACGUAGCAGGUCGUUAGCGUAGCAGGUCAUUAGCGUAGCAGGUUGUUAACGUAGCAGGUAGUGAACGUAGCAGGUCGUUAGCAUAGCAGGUUGUUAACGUAGCAGGUUGUGAACGUAGCAGGUUGUGAACGUAGCAGAUCGUUAGCGUAGCAGAUCGUUAGCGUAGCAGAUUUUUAAUGUAGCAGGUUGUUAACGUCCUCCAGGAAGAGCUACUCUGACCGCUUUGUCU